AACUUAACAAAUCAAUAUAUCAGGCCUCAAUCUAUUUCAUACUUGGACACCUAAGUGGUGCUAGUUCUUAGCGGUAGUCAACUCAACAGUCAAAUUGCUACCAUGUGCUUGUCAUUUUUAAUAUCUCUUGAGAUAUGUUUAUAGUCAUCUUCUCUUUUCUUUUGUAAUUUUGAUAACAUGGUGAAGCAUUUCAUAAAAUAUGUAGAUGUUUCAGCAAAUGCAUUCCUUGGGCUGGAAAAAAAAAAAAAGGAAAUUUGCCCAGGAAGUUCUCAGUUGUAGGUUUUUAUUUCUUUCAGGCUUCUGGUUUUUUGGAACCUAUGCUUUAAACUAACUGUUUGCUUUCGAUUUACAUGGAGGAGGAGAACAAUUGAGAAGUUCUAAAUUCAAUGGGUAAAAAAUGUUCCGGGGGUGAAAAAAUAUAAAGAAAGGUGAUAAGGAAAAAUGCCUGCAUCUAUUCUACCUAAAAAGUCGUACUGGGAAUGAAAUUGUGAGUUGGGCAGAAAUGAGUGUGUGAAGUCCCAUGUUCAUUUUUUCUGUUGUAGGAAAAUUUUAAAUAUGUGUUCAAUUCUGGACCAUCAGGAGUCAUGGAAAGUUCAAGGAAGGUUUCCAAAAAACAUUCCGGCUUACUCGUCUUUCGCAGACAGUGCAGACGUGGCAAAGAGUACCUUUUCCUGCUCCUCACGUAAAUCUGUGUUCCAAACGUCACAUGCCGAAGGGGAAGUGAACAGGUCUGUCUUAUUCUCCAGCAUUGAUGAUGAAGGCCGAAUUCUAGGGAGAAGCAAAUGAGGAAAAGAAGAAGUUAAAUCUCUUGGAGGAUAUGACUGUUCCGGUGUCUGCCCAUUGGCCUGAUGUAUUUUAAACCUGCAACGUCUGAAAUCUCCGUUCCCUUCUUUUGGACCCUCCAUCACAUGAAGCUGACCUACAGGUGUUUACAAGAUCCCUACUCUGUGUAGCCCUCCGUCCUGUCCAUCCACGCCUGACGUCCAGCCCUUCCCCACAAAGGCCCAUUCUAAUUUCACCAAUGGUCGGCUCCACUUGCCACAAUCCUGUCAAGGCAGACAAAUGAAACAUGUCAGGAGACAUGUGGAAGAAAAGAGUUACUGAUUUACUGUGGAACUUUUUAUGGAUAAGAGUUAUUUCUCUUGGCCUGGUACCUGCUCUUGAAGCUUGAUCACAUUUCAAGGUACUGCAGCCAUUUACUCAAAUAUUCUAGGUCCUCAGAUGUUAGGGUGCACGUGUCUGUUUGUGUGCGUGCAUGUCUGAAUGCGGUUGGAAAGCCACAGCAAGGCUGUUGAUUGCAAAGCAGGAACAAAGGGGAAAAGUCAAGGCUCCCUCCCACCCUCACCUCUAAUGAUUAUCAGCAUCACUGCGGCUCUUUUGUUUGGGAAAAGGACUUAGGGUCACUUUGCAACGAAAAAAAAGUCUUUAGCGUGCACAAGUUUGAAAACAUUGUCCUAUUUAUUUGGAGAAGUAUACAGAAAGCUCUUUUCCCCUCUAGUUUGGUUUGCAAAUAGAAUGUUUUUGUGUCUAUCUCCGUGGUGUCGUGCUUUACUGAAAAAAAAGACCGAGUGGUAUGGGAAGGUCAGAUUUGGGGGUGAUGAUUCUCCCUCUAGCUUUUCAGAUGUCACAACCAGAUGAAGGAUAAUUUAAGGAGCACAGAGCCGGGUGAUCGGUCUUGCAGAGCUGCCUGUCUGUUGGACCUGGAGGAAAGCUUAUCCCCAGCAAGGUAAUUUAUGACAGAAGACGAUCUUGGCUCCCUGCAGGCAGCACAACCUAGGUUCUGCGA
ensembl:lncRNA